AUUGAACGCUGGCGGCAGGCCUAACACAUGCAAGUCGAGCGAGCGGCGCACGGGUGAGUAAUGUAUGGGGACUGCCCGAUAGAGUGGGGUAACUACUGGAAACGGUAGCUAAUACCGCAUACUAUCGGAUAACACAUAUGGGCUUAGCUAGUAGGUGAGGUAAUGGCUCACCUAGGCGACGAUCCCUAGCUGGCCUGAGAGGAUGAUCAGCCACGCUGGGACUGAGCGAAGGCCCAGCCUCCGACGGAGGCAGCAGUGGGGAAUAUUGCACAAUGGGCGCAGGCCUGAUGCAGCCAUGCCGCGUGUAUGAAGAAGGCCCUAGGGUUGUAAAGUACUUUCAGUCGGGAGGCGUUACCGACAGAAGAAGCACCGGCUAACUCCGUGCCAGCCGCCGCGGUAAUUC
rnacentral:rRNA from 1 species